rnacentral:lncRNA from 1 species
UGUCAACCUUCCAAGAAGGUGACUCUGGAGGGACAGGGUAGGAUUAUGUCAUAUUCCUGGAAUAGUGUAGCAAAAGUCCCCCUGUUUAUGCACUCUGCUGAGAUUCAGGUCUGUGCUGGCACAGGACAGAAUGUUCCAGCACAGGAUAACUAUGUUACAGUGCCAGUUAUGAAAGCAGGGGAGUGUCUUGUGUUGGGGGCAGAGCAGUCUUUGACUGCCACGCUAGGUAAAAGGCCACCACGAAAGCCUUCUUAUUUAGUCUGAGCUUUCACAAUUCCAGGCUCUUGCCAGUCUCAGGAUUUUUCUCGUGAAUGAACCAGGAAGGUCCAAGGUAGGGUGAGCAAGGCAAGCUAGCCAGGGAUAGGAGCAGGGCUAGUUUGUAGUGCAGGCUGCCCUGCUGAGGGGAGCAGCCUCAUAUGAGUCCAGGAGGCAGUCAGCAUGAUUCACCGAGCCUGUUGGAGGCUAGUGACUUGAGCUGGUGUUUCAUAAGGCUCUGCAUGGGCAGUUUUCCCUCCCGGAUUCCUCUCCAUGCAGCUGCAGACUGAGGAAAAUCAAAGCCACAGCUUCUGCUGGGAUUUGCAUGGGAAAGUUUCCCCCUUCCCUGGGAAUGUCCUUUCAGUUCUCUACACCCCGUGGCUUCGACUAUGUUCCACAAACACUGAGCCAACAGCUUGCCAGAACCCCAGGGUCAGCGCCUGUGGAACCUGUCACCCACCUGCAGCUGCAAGUCUUGGGAUAUGCGUGAGACCUCAGACAGCAGUCUGCCUGCUGGGUGGAGGUGGGGGGUCCAGGCCAGGAUGGGCUGACUGGCAAACAUUCCCAGACAUGUGGGCUUAAAGCCAUCCCUCACUGAUCCCUGCUAGCAGAUGAAUAUAUCGGAAGGUGAUGAGUACGAAGGAGCUUGGCUGCCAGCCAGGCGGUGUCGGAAAAGGAUGGGAAUUAUGUUGUUGUGAACCUAAAGCUGCUCCAGGAAAGUCUAUCGAAAAGUUAAAAACAUUUAAAUAAACAAAUAAAAGGAUGAGAAUGUUGAAAUGCUAAAAGAUCAGUGGUGUGUGGGAUUCUUCGAGCCCUGCAGUUUCAACACAUUUGAGGUGGAAGGGCCAAGAUCGGCCUGCCAUAGCCCUUUGUUUAGAGGAUGUUCAGCCAGUGGUGACUCCACAGGCCUGCAGCCUAAAAGCCCAGGGGCAGAUGCAAAGGCAGUCUAGACCAAAGCGUUGUCCCAUGCCCGCACAGGUGCGGACAAGUCCAGGAACUCGCCAGCUGUUGCAGCUCUCUCAGAACAAAUACAGCCAUAACCAUUGGAGGGCCAGCAGGCAGCCUCAGCCUGCAGAGAGGUGGGCUCCGUCACUCCGGCCUCCUUGUCUCUCCUCCAGUUUGAUAGAAGCCCCACCCCCGGUCUAAUAUUACAAUCCAUAUAGCUUGUGUCACCAGCUUGCCUAUUUCCAGUAAAAACCAGGUAGCAAAUCUAGGCUCAGUAGUGUGUGCCUGCAGUCCCAGCUACUCAGCAGGCUGAGGCAGGAGGAUCACUUGAGGCCAGGAGUUUAAGGCUGUAGUAUUCACGAUGAUGCCUGUGAAUAGCCACUGCACUUCAGCCAGGGUGACACAGCGAGACCUGUCAAAAAAAAAAAAAAAAAAAAAGCAAAAACAAACCAAAAACAGGUAACAAAUAGAAAAUUUGUCACAAUCCCUUUCAGGACAGUCAACAUUAUAACAUUAUGAUUAAUAUUUCUAAAGGGGACAGACAAAUGCUGGUUGUCUCUGUCUGUGAAGAAGUGUAUGUUAUAUUCAGUGGUAUGUGUAUUCAGUCACAUAUAUUCAAGGUGGCUGAACUUCACAGAACCCAACUAUAUUAGUCGGUCCUUGCGUUGCUCUAAAGAAAUAACAGAUUGGGUGAUUUGUAAAGAAAAGAGGUUUGAUAGGCUCAUGAUUCUGCAGGCUGGACACGAAGAAUGGUGUUGGCAUCCACUCAGCUUCUAGGGAAGCCUCAGGAAACUUACAAUCAGGUGGAAGGUGGAGAGGGAGCAGGCAAGUCAAUGGCAAGGCAGGAGCAGGAGGGAGAGAGGAGGGGAGGCAGCACACGCUUUUAAACAAUCAGAUCUUGUGAGAAUUCACUCAUUAUUGCGAGGACAGCACCAAGGGGAUGGUACUAAACCAUUAAUAAGAAAUGUGCUCCCAGGCCAGGCGCGGUGGCUCACGCCUGUAAUCCCAGCACUUUGGGAGGCCGAGGCAGGUGGAUCCCUUGAGGUCAGGAGUUCAAGAUCAGGCUGGCCAACUUGGUGAAACUCCAUCUCUACUAAAAAUACAAAAAAUUAGCUGGGUGUUGUGGUGCACGCCUGUAAUCCCAGUUACUCAGGAGGCUGAGGCAAAACAAUCGCUUGAACCCAGGAGGCAGAGGUUUCAGUGAGCCGAGAUCGUGGCACUGCACUCCAGCCUGGGCAACAGAGCAAUACUCCGUCUCAAAAAAAAAGAAAAAAGAAAUCUGCUCCCAUUAUCCAACCACCUCCCACCAGGCCUCACCUCCAACAUUGGGGAUUACAUUUCAACAUGAGACUUGGGUGGGGACAAAUCUACAAAGGAUAUCACCUAUUAAUAUCCCCACUCCCACCCCGGGUGGCCGGGAUCCCAAACAGCAAAAGAAGAGUUUUAAAAGUUGGGGAGCAUAAGCAGAACUGAGGGAUUCAUCUUGUUUUGGAAUAGUGUACACAAUGUGUAGAUCAAAGACAUGCAAAAAUACAUGCUCAUUUGAUAGAAAAUCUUGGGAAUUUUCGCUUUUUUUUUUUGAGACGGAGUCUCACUCUGUUGCCCAGGCUGGAGUGCAGUGGUGCAGUCUCGGCUCACUGCAACCUCCACCUCCUGGAUUCAAGUGAUUCUCCUGCCUCUGCCCGUCUCAGCCUCCCAAAGUGCUGGGAUUACAGGUGUGAGCCACUGAGCCCCACCGGAAUUUUUCUUUAUAAGAUACCGUGGCAAUGAUGAAAGUUUGUCUUCAGUACCACAGAUUUGGUGACCUUCAGUUUUGUAAAGCAACUGUCUUCAAACACCCUGGCCUACACCUUAAAAGUAUUUUGAAAAAUUACAUUCCCCCUUGCACAUUUCUAAGUUGACAUUUAAAUCCUUUUCUUCAAAUAUUUAAAUAACUAAAAAAGAUAGAAUUUCCAGCAAAAUGUAAACACUGGCAUUUAAAAAAAUGACUUCAUUACUCUUUAAAAUAUAUCUGAUGGAAUAUAAACACAAGGGUGAUUUGAUACUCUCACUACCAUCUAUUUAAAAACCAUUAAUAUUCUCUUCUUUAGCUGUUGGCAAUUUAAUAUCUUUAUAUUGUAUUUCCACUCCUCUUUCACACUGAAUUUUAUUCCAAGAAAAUAUAAUUUUAUAAAUUAAAAUUUGUAUUAAUUGCCCAUCCUACUUCCUUGUCACAGAAGUAUGUAUAAAUAUGGACAUUUAAGAAAUUAUUUUGGCCAGGUGUGGUGGCUUAUGCCUGUAAUCAAAGCACUUUGUGAGGCCAAGGUGGGCAGAUUGCCUGAGCCUGAGCUCAGGAGUUCGAGUCUAGCCUGUGCAACACCGUGAAACCCUGUCUCUACUAAAACACAAAAAUGCUUAGCCAGGCAUGGAGGCACGUGCCUGUAGUCCUAGCUACUUGGGAGGGUGAGGCAGGAGAAUUGCUUGAACGCGGAAGAUGGACAUCGCAGUGAGCUGAGAUUGUGCCACUGCACUGGGCAACAGAGUGAGACUCUGUCUCAAAAAAAAAAAAAAAAGAAAAGAAAAAAAUUAUUUCUUCUGAAUUCAGUUAUGAUUUUAAUAUUAAUCUACAUUUUGAUUAAAAAUACAUUAAAGGCUAUGCACAAUGGCUCAUAUCUGUAAUCCCAGCACUUUUGGAGGCUGAGGUGGGAGGAUCACUUGAGCCCAGGAGUUCGAGACAAGCCUGGGCAACAUAGUGAGACCCCAUCUCUAUAAAAAUUGUUUUAAAAAUUAGUUGGGCAUGGUGGUAUAUGCCUGUGCCUGUAGUCCCAGCUACUCGGGAGGCUGAGGUGGGAAGUUUGCUUGAGCCCAGGAAGUCAAGACCACAGUAAACCAUGAUUGUGCCAUUGCACUCCAGCCUAGGCAACAGAGCAAGACUGGGUCUCAAAAGAAGCAAAACUAUACAUUAAAUAAAUUUUAAUUAAAAUAAUUACUAAAACAUCAUUGGAAAUGUACCCUGAUAAGAUGGCUAGGAGUGUCUCAGUGCCUUCAUGAAAGGACAUCUUGCUGAUGCCAGUAUUUCUAAUGAUCCCUUUCUUUGGUAACCCAGGGUGGCAGAUAGACUCUAAGAUUGUCCCAAAUUAUUCCCGCCUCCUAGAGUCCAUGGGCUUGUAGAGUCCCCUGCCAAAGUGUGGUUGGAACUGUAACUUGCUUCUAGUUAACAGAAACAGCAAGGGUGGGUACAAAAAUACAGUUAGAUAGAAGAAAUAAGAGCUGGUGUUUGAUAGAUCAGUAGAGUGACCAUAGUUAAUAAUAAUCUAUUAUAUAUUUCACAAUAGCUAAAAAAGAAUAAUUCAAAUGUUCCUAGCACAAAGAAAGGAUAAAUGUUUAAGAUGAUGGAUACCCCAAUUACUUGGAUUUGACCAUUACACAUUAUAGGAAUGUAUCAAAAUAUCACACUUACCCCAAAAUAUGUGCA